UACAGAGGGGGCAAGCGUUGUUCGGAAUUACUGGGCGUAAAGGGCACGUAGGCGGCCUUCUAAGUCGAACGUGAAAUCCCCGGGCUCAACCCGGGAACUGCGUCCGAUACUGGAAGGCUUGAAUCCGGGAGAGGGAUGCGGAAUUCCAGGUGUAGCGGUGAAAUGCGUAGAUAUUGGAGGAACACCGGUGGCGAAGGCGGCAUCCUGGACCGGCAUUGACGCUGAGGCGCGAAAGCCAGGGGAGCAAAGCGGG
rnacentral:rRNA from 1 species